rnacentral:tRNA from 1 species
CGGGCCAGAGCUUGAUAUAAAGCGUUUUAUUUACAUUAAAAAGUUGGUUGUGAAAUUCAAUUUGGCUUGA